AAGCGUCACACCGGGAAUCGAAACCGGGUCUUCUGGGUGAAAGCCAGAUAUCUUAACCAUUAGAGCACGUAU